rnacentral:rRNA from 1 species
UACGGGGGGGGCAAGCGUUGUUCGGAAUUACUGGGCGUAAAGGUCUCGUAGGUGGCCAACUAAGUCAGACGUGAAAUCCCCAGGCUCAACUUGGGAACUGCGUCUGAUACUGGAUGGCUUGAAUUCGGGAGAGGGAUGCAGAAUUCCAGGUGUAGCGGUGAAAUGCGUAGAUAUCUGGAGGAACACCGGUGGCGAAGGCGGCGUCCUGGACCAACACUGACACUGAGGAGCGAAAGCCAGGGGAGCAAACGGG